rnacentral:rRNA from 1 species
GACGAACGCUGGCGGCGUGCUUAACACAUGCAAGUCGAACGGAAAGGCCCUGCUUUUGUGGGGUGCUCGAGUGGCGAACGGGUGAGUAACACGUGAGUAACCUGCCCUUGACUUUGGGAUAACUUCAGGAAACUGGGGCUAAUACCGGAUAGGAGCUCCUGCUGCAUGGUGGGGGUUGGAAAGUUUCGGCGGUUGGGGAUGGACUCGCGGCUUAUCAGCUUGUUGGUGGGGUAGUGGCUUACCAAGGCUUUGACGGGUAGCCGGCCUGAGAGGGUGACCGGCCACCUUGGGCCUGCGAGACGCCCCAGCCUCCUACGGGAGGCAGCAGUGGGAAGUAUUGCACAAUGGGCCGACGCCUGAUGCAGCAACGCCGCGUGCGGGAUGACGGCUUUCGGGUUGUAAACCGCUUUCGCCUGUGCCGAAGCGUGAGUGACGGUAAUGGGUAAAGAAGCACCGGCUAACUACGUG